rnacentral:rRNA from 1 species
AGAAUCAACGCUGGCGGCGUGCCUAACACAUGCAAGUCGAACGAGAAAGUGGAGCAAUCCAUGAGUAAAGUGGCGCACGGGUGAGUAACACGUGACUAACCUACCCUUGAGUGGGGAAUAACCUAGGGAAACCUGGGCUAAUACCGCAUAACACCUACGGGUCAAAGGAGCAAUUCGCUUAAGGAGGGGGUCGCGGCAGAUUAGCUAGUUGGCGGGGUAAUGGCCCACCAAGGCAGUGAUCUGUAUCCGGCCUGAGAGGGCGCACGGACACGACUGGAACUGAAACACGGUCCAGACUCCUACGGGAGGCAGCAGUGGGAAUUUUGCGCAAUGGGGGAAACCCUGACGCAGCAACGCCGCGUGGAGGAUGAAGUCCCUUGGGACGUAAACUCCUUUCGACCGGGAAGAUUAUGACGGUACCGGAAGAAGAAGCCCCGGCUAACUUCGCGCCAGCAGCCGC